rnacentral:sRNA from 1 species
AUGAGGUCACAUGAGAACGGGCUUCAUGGAAAUAGGGCUUCACCUGACCAUUUGCAUAAAG